UACAGAGGUCUCAAGCGUUGUUCGGAUUCAUUGGGCGUAAAGGGUGCGUAGGUGGCGCUGUAAGUCGGGGGUGAAAUUUCGGAGCUUAACUCCGAAACUGCAUUCGAUACUGCGGUGCUUGAGGACUGGAGAGGAGACUGGAAUUCAUGGUGUAGCAGUGAAAUGCGUAGAGAUCAUGAGGAAGACCAGUGGCGAAGGCGGGUCUCUGGACAGUUCCUGACGCUGAGGCACGAAGGCCAGGGGAGCAAACGGG
rnacentral:rRNA from 1 species